CAUCCGGUAUCUGGCGGAAAACGAGCCGUGUGAGUGACCCCUGGGGCUGCACACCGCAGGCUGUCCUCACUUGUCAGUCACACAGCCUAGGUAAGGAACCCUUCUUUUGCUUGAUAAUACCCACAACUGGAAAAGCAGCGAUGCAGGGUCAGGAUCAGGGCAUGAAACAUGGACCGGCAAUUCGCGGCUCUGACAAAGGGCACACAGGGAAAACAAAGCAAAACAAACAACCAAAAAAUUAUCCUAUGUGUGGUCUGGCGCCAUCUGCUGGAAGUCCGGGAUCGCACGGCUCCAUACAAUCGUUUUGUAGAAUAGUGGAAAGCCCAGUCUCCAAGGACAGGUAAGGGGAAACGCUAUGAUUGCUAAGACCUUACCUGCUACAGAAGGGACAGGGGAGAGGAAGAGGGAGCUCUUUAAUCAGCUUGCGCUGCUGGUGGCUCAGUCAUCAUGGUGAAAAAUAGACAGAAUGCUGUUCUUAGGAAAGACAGGAGUCUGGUGCAGAACUGCGUGGCAGUGAACAAGAAGACGCCAACCAGGCCCGGGGCUGGCCUUCUUGGGCUACCUAGAAGGCUGAGGAGCUGUGGACUACCAAGAGUUCUGUGGGUGGCAAGUACGCCCAGGAUUCCCCUACCCUCACCCCAUCCCCGCAAAUAGAACCAGGGUCACCCCAGGGUGGACUGCCUUAGGACAAGAACAAAGAAAGGUCCCGGAGAGGGCCAGCAGGACAAAUGUGACUUGGAAAGAGUCCACAGGAGGCGUGUGUCCACGUGGGACAGGCACUAUCAGAUCAUUUCCUAGCAGUUGAGAGAGAGAGAGAGAGAGAGAGAGAGAGGCUGAGGUCACCUUGUUCCUAGCCAGCCUCUCCUAACUGCAGACUCACAGCAAAAGGCCAGUCAUCAGUGGAUGACUGUCACCUGUCACCUCUCAGGAAAGUUGAAGGAUUCCAUCAUCAUCCACUCCCGGAAGUGGAGUCUUAUAGAGACUUCCUAUUGAGCCCUUCAGCCAAGGUGCUAUCCUGUACAACGUUUGUAAGUAAGUCAGCCCACUUUCUCAACAGCGCUGCGAGAGAGUGUCAUCGUUUACAGACAGCCAGGUAAUCUGAGACACAGAGAGAGCGAGGCUCUUCCUGCACUGGUUCCAGAAAAUCAGAUUGGAGCGUCCCCCUCCUCUGUACUCUCCCCAAGGGCUCCCCAGGUAGUACAAACUGCUGUGCCAGUGCCAUCACAGAGCUUUGCCAACCAAAUGUUAGGAAGUUAGCGUGUGCCAAGCCAUGAAAAUAAACCCUUCCUUCGGCUCCUUCCAACGUUCCUCCCACUAAUGUUUUCACAAUUGCAUACAGUUCUCCCUAAGAGAUAACUGGCUCUUGCUGUAGCUUGCUGUCUCGAUUUUCAGACAGAAGCAUAGCCGAACAGAAGGUUUGAGAUCAAAGUUUGGGAAAUAUAGAGCUUAAAGAAAACCAGGUGCCAGGCAACAUGAGGAUUUAGCAGGGGAAACUCGGCUAACUGGCUUUCAGUUUUAGGGAUCUACGCUCUCACAGAUGUAAGUGGGCGGGGGGGGGCAGGAGGAUGGAGAGAGGAGGAGAUGGGCGAAAGGGCAAAGUGAAAUGGAGUAUGGGGGCUGGAGAGACGGGUCAGCAGUUAGGAGCAUCUGCAGUUCUUACAGCGGACCCAGGUUCAGUUCCCAGCACCCACAAGGCAGCUCACAACAGUCUGAAGCUCUAGUUCCAGUCCCAUGGACUCACGUGACCUCUGCAAACACCACAGGGUGUGCAUACAUCUGUAAGUGUGGAGGCUGAAUAGACUGCUCAGCAGGUAAGAGUAACAGCGUUUGCUGUUCUUGUAUAGGCCCAGAGUUCAGGACCCAGCACCUGCGUCGCUCACAGCCACCUGUAACUCCAGUUCCAGAGGCUCCAACACCUGCUGUCUUCUGGCCUGCACAGACACCCAGAGCCCUAGAAAGGUCUUUAAACAUCAAUGGCCCUUAGGAUGUGUGCAAAUGCCGUAAGGAAACCUGCAACAUUAGCCGGGCUGAGCACGCACUUGUGGUCCCAGCACUUGGGAGGCACAAUGGGGAGACAUCACAAAUUGGAGGCCAGCCUUGACUACACAAUCAUUGAGUUUGGGUGUACAGUGGUAUAUAAGUUGUCUCUUGGUCUUUGGAUCACAAGAAGUCACACCAGACCCUGAUAGGCAGAACGGAAGUACAGAAGUACCUUGGACUCCGAGGAACGGGCACCCUGGGAGAGACUGUUACUGCAAACUUUCCUUGCGGUUUGAACACAUUCUUGUGAACUACAAAGGAAAAGAAACCCUGGGUACCACUCAGUGUCCAUAGAAGAGAAGAGUGUGCCUUUUCCUUCUUCUGUUCUUUUUACUUGACUAGAAGCAACUGGCGCUCACGCGGCCAUCUUGGACCAUGAUGUGCUGUGGCAGGUCAGCAAGACAGAAUUCCCAGUUUCUAAGAGGCUUUGGGAUGUUGCUAUAGAGCUUCGUUCACACAAGGAAGAGAUAGACAUGAAACACCAAUGUUUGGACCAUUCUGCCUGUGCCAAAUGUAAGCACGGUUUUAUAAGCCGUGUAUAACACGCUUGACAUAUGUGCAUUUAAUCUUCACAAUGCCAAUAAUAUAGCUCAUUCACAUCCUCAUCAUACAGGCUAGCCUGUCCAAGGUCACAAACUCCAAGCAACACAACCAGGAUUUUUAUCCUUUUCUGCCUUACGUUUCAAGCCAGGCUUUGGCCACUCAAGUAACUCUUUCUUACUUGCAUACUUUGUGGCAAAGACUAUCAUUCCCUUCUAGACCUGUCUUCCUUGUUCCUUCUCACAGGAUGGAAACUGCAACUUUCUUGCUGGACAGACGUCCAACCACAAAACAGGCCAUUUCCAGCCUCCCUUCAAGUGUGGGGGUCACUAUGUAGCCACAGUCCGAUGGGGGGAGGGGUGUGGAGUCUGUGCAAGUUCUGGAUUGUUUUGGAAGGGGCAAGAACACUGUUUCCCCUUCCCGUUCCUCCCUAGUGUGCAGGCCCUGGGUACAGCAGCACAUUUUCUUGGCAAUACGGAUCAAGGCUUGGAGGUGACACCCUAAGAUGAUCCCUUAGACAGUGUCACAGCACAAAGUUGCCAUGUCGCCUGAUGACUGAAAAUUCCAAGACUCAAAGCUCGAAAACCGCGUGCUGUCCUUCCUACGCGACCAGCCCCACUGCAGACACUCAGGAAAGUGCCGCAGAGAAUGCCUGGGACAGCUGGAGGGAGGCUGCAUGAGGUGCGUGAAAAGUACAAGAGUUAUUAGGAAAGAGAUGCAAAGCUUCUGUUUUCUGGGUCUCGAUUUCUAAAGUCAAAGGGACGACGGAAAGCCAUUGCUCACCAGCUAUGCUCCACACCAUAUCACUUCCUACCCUUCUGCCAGCACACGGAGCUGUUGUAGGCACCUGGAGGGCAGACGGGGUCUCCGGGUCAUUUUCAUGUCUCCUCAGCAUAGACUUUGCAUGUGGCAAGCAAGCACCCUCCCCCUAUGUGUUCCGGGUGCUGAAUACACCCGGGUCGAAUUUAGUGAAAGGCGAUCGGGAUAGGAAUUAUUUGGGAGCUAGAGGCCCCUCUGGUAUGAUGAUAAGGGGCUGUGAUUAGAAUGACCUAGAUGAAGGAUGGCAAAAACACAGCGCUGGCUGCUGUGUGUCCCCUUGUGUGCUUGUGACGGACAUUGCCAACGGAUCGCGGCACACUUGCUCCCUGGGGACAGCUGUGGACCCCCAGCCCUUUCUCCACACUCAGCGCUUACAGUGCCGCUCCCCUCACACCGACAGUGAAGCCGGACAGACGGUGAGAGG